CGGCAGGCCUAACACAUGCAAGUCGAGGGGUAACAGAAAAAAGCUUGCUUUUUUGCUGACGACCGGCGAACGGGUGCGUAACACGUAUGUAACCUACCUAUAACUGGCGAAUAGCCUACUGAAAAGUGGAUUAAUACGCCAUAAUAUGUAUUUAAGGCAUCUUUUAUACAUUAAAGCUCCGGCGGUUAUAGAUGGACAUGCGCAACAUUAGCUUGUUGGUGAGGUAACGGCUCACCAAGGCAACGAUGUUUAGGGGUUCUUAGAGGAUGAUCCCCCACACUGGUACUGAGACACGGACCAGACUCCUACGGGAGGCAGCAGUGAGGAAUAUUGCGCAAUGGAGGAAACUCUGACGCAGCCAUGCCGCGUGCAGGAAGACGGUCUUAUGGAUUGUAAACUGCUUUUAUAUGCCAAGAAACCUUAGUACGUGUACUAAGCUGACGGUAGCAUAUGAAUAAGGAUCGG
rnacentral:rRNA from 1 species